GACGGAGGAUGCAAGUGUUAUCCGGAAUCACUGGGCGUAAAGCGUCUGUAGGUGGUCAAAUAAGUCAACUGUUAAAUCUUGAGGCUCAACCUCAAAAUCGCAGUCGAAACUAUUAGACUAGAGUAUAGUAGGGGUAAAGGGAAUUUCCAGUGGAGCGGUGAAAUGCGUAGAGAUUGGAAAGAACACCGAUGGCGAAGGCACUUUACUGGGCUAUUACUAACACUCAGAGACGAAAGCCAGGGUAGCAAAUGGG
rnacentral:rRNA from 1 species